CUACGGGCCGCUCCAGUGAGGAAUUUUGCGCAAUGGGGGAAACCCUGACGCAGCAACGCCGCGUGAGUGAUGAAGGCCUUCGGGUCGUAAAACUCUGUCAAGUGGGAAGAACCUAUGUAAGGUUAAUACCCUUAUGUACUGACGGUACCACUGAAGGAAGCACCGGCUAACUCCGUGCCAGCAGCCGCGGUAAUACGGAGGGUGCAAGCGUUAUUCGGAAUUAUUGGGCGUAAAGGGCGCGCAGGCGGUUUUGUAAGUCAGACGUGAAAGCCCGGGGCUUAACCUCGGAAGUGCAUUUGAUACUGCAAGACUUGAGUAUGGGAGGGGGAAGUGGAAUUCCUGGUGUAGAGGUGAAAUUCGUAGAUAUCAGGAGGAACACCAGUGGCGAAGGCGACUUCCUGGACCAAUACUGACGCUGAGGCGCGAAGGCGUGGGGAGCAAACAGGAUUAGAUACCCCGGUAGUC
rnacentral:rRNA from 1 species